rnacentral:rRNA from 1 species
GCAUAUCAAUAAGCGGAGGAAAAGAAACUAACUAGGAUUCCCUUAGUAACGGCGAGUGAACCGGGAUGAGCUCAAAUUUGAAAUCUGGCGUCUUUCAGGCGUCCGAGUUGUAAUCUAUAGAGGCGUUUUCCGCGCCGGACCGCGUCCAAGUCUCUUGGAAUAGAGUAUCAAAGAGGGUGACAAUCCCGUACUUGACGCGACAACCGGUGCUCUGUGAUACGUUCUCAACGAGUCGAGUUGUUUGGGAAUGCAGCUCUAAAUGGGUGGUAAAUUCCAUCUAAGGCUAAAUAUUGGCGAGAGACCGAUAGCGAACAAGUACCGUGAGGGAAAGAUGAAAAGCACUUUGGAAAGAGAGUUAAACAGCACGUGAAAUUGUUAAAAGGGAAACGAUUGAAGUCAGUCGUGUGAAAGGUAUUCAGCCGUCUCUGGCGGUGUAUUUGCCUUUCACGGGUCAACAUCAGUUUAGUCCGGUAGAAAAAGGCUGGAGGAAGGUGGCACCCUCGGGUGUGUUAUAGCCUCCUGUCACAUGUGCCGGAUUAGACUGAGGAACGCAGCUUGCCGCAAGGCCGGGGUUCGCCCACGUACAAGCUUAGGAUGUUGACAUAAUGGCUUUAAACGACCCGUCUUGAAACACGGACC